rnacentral:rRNA from 1 species
GAUGAACGCUGGCGGCGUGCCUAAUACAUGCAAGUCGAGCGAACGGACGAGAAGCUUGCUUCUCUGAUGUUAGCGGCGGACGGGUGAGUAACACGUGGAUAACCUACCUAUAAGACUGGGAUAACUUCGGGAAACCGGAGCUAAUACCGGAUAAUAUUUUGAACCGCAUGGUUCAAAAGUGAAAGACGGUCUUGCUGUCACUUAUAGAUGGAUCCGCGCUGCAUUAGCUAGUUGGUAAGGUAACGGCUUACCAAGGCAACGAUGCAUAGCCGACCUGGGAGGGUGAUCGGCCACACUGGAACUGAGACACGGUCCAGACUCCUACGGGAGGCAGCAGUAGGGAAUCUUCCGCAAAGGGCGAAAGCCUGACGGAGCAACGCCGCGUGAGUGAUGAAGGUCUUCGGAUCGUAAAACUCUGUUAUUAGGGAAGAACAUAUGUGUAAGUAACUGUGCACAUCUUGACGGUACCUAAUCAGAAAGCCACGGCUAACUACGUG